rnacentral:rRNA from 1 species
GACGAACGCUGGCGGCGUGCUUAACACAUGCAAGUCGUACGGUAAGGCCCUUUCGGGGGUACACGAGUGGCGAACGGGUGAGUAACACGUGAGUAACCUGCCCACAACUUUGGGAUAACGCUAGGAAACUGGUGCUAAUACUGGAUAUGUGCUCCUGCUGCAUGGUGGGGGUUGGAAAGCUCCGGCGGUUGUGGAUGGACUCGCGGCCUAUCAGCUUGUUGGUGGGGUAGUGGCCUACCAAGGCGGCGACGGGUAGCCGGCCUGAGAGGGUGACCGGCCACACUGGGACUGAGAGACGGCCCAGACGCCUACGGGAGGCAGCAGGGGGGAAUAUUGAACCAGGGGCGCAAGCCUGAUGCAGCAAGGCCGCGGGCGGGAUGACGGCCUUCGGGUUGUAAACCGCUUUCAGCAGGGACGAAGCUUUUUGUGACGGUACCUGAAGAAGAAGCACCGGCUAACUACGUG